UUUAAGGCAAACCGCGCGCGGGAUAGACGCAGUGGCGUCAGCGCGGUCGCCUUCCGCGCGAGUAUAAAGCUUGUCAGGCCCUUCCAAUGCGGCCUGCGAUUGGCUAGCUGUGAACCCGCCUGUGGGCGGAACCACUCGCCCCGCUGGGAGGGGUGUUACACAGAAAAAGAAAUGUUUUUUCCGAAUUUUCCAAAUCAUCAUUUAUUCUUCAAAGGGAUCCAAACGGGGAAUUUAGGGACGAUUUAAAAACGAUAUCCAAAUAUCCGAGUCGUCGGACCGGGACACCGAAUAACUCGGAUUAAAAGCUUGCGCGCUGUGACGUCACAGCCACAGACUUUCCCCCUGACUGGCUGACAAAGAUUGAGAAAUAAAAGAAACUUCCCCCGAAUCCUCCUGGCUGACUGCAGUCCGACGAAGGCGGAACCGGUGAGCACUUGGUCAGUCGACCUUGAGAGGUGUUGCGGUCGGAGGCGGUGCCGUCGUGGCCCAGCGGGAGCGUAAUUCGUGGCCUUCGUCCUCGUGCCGGUGGUGGAAACAUGCUGCGCGUGACAGCGGCGGCCAGGCGCCACUCAUGGCGGGGUUUGAAAGGUUCGGCGUCGCGUGCCGGCGUGUCGGUGAGGAACGAGCCCAUCCUGCGCUUCGAACGCGGAAGUCCCGAAAGACGACAACUGCUGCAGGCGCUGGAGCAGGUGAAGUCCGGCACGGAGGAGAUUCCCUGCGUGGUCGGCGAUGAACACGUCUGGACCGACGACGUCCGCUACCAAGUGUCCCCCUUCAAUCACGCGCACAAAGUGGCAAAGUUCUGCUACGCCGACAAGGACGUGAUCCACAAAGCCAUCGCGGCGUCGGUGGCGGCGCGCCGCGAGUGGGACCUGAAACCCGUCCAGGACCGAGCGGCGAUCCUCUUCAAGGCGGCGGACGUGAUCGGCGGACCCAAACGAGGCGAAUUGCUGGCCAAGACCAUGGUCGGGCAGGGCAAAACGGUGAUCCAGGCGGAGAUCGACGCGGCGGCCGAGCUGAUCGACUUUUUCCGCUUCAACGCCAAACACGCCGUCGAGCUGGAGGCGGCGCAACCGCUGGACGCCGAGGGCAGCGUCAACACCGCCGUCUACCGCGGCCUCGAGGGCUUCGUGGCCGCCGUGGCGCCUUUCAACUUCACCGCGAUCGGCGGGAAUUUGGCGGGAACGCCGGCCGUCAUGGUGAGCGCUCCGAGGUCGUCGGGCAAAAAAAGUAGCGCUCUUUUUAUUCUUCAUCAGAUAAGUGUUAUUGACACCGUAAUGUGCGGACCGCCGGAGAGGCCCCCUGGCAGGAAUUCGGCAACGUUUGUGUGCGUUUCUGCACGCGUUCAGGGCAACGUGGUCCUGUGGAAGCCGAGCGACGCGGCCGUGUCGGCGAGCUACGCCGUGUACCGCGUCCUGCGCGAGUGCGGCCUUCCUCCCGACGUCAUCCAGUUCCUCCCGGCCGACGGUCCCGUCUUCGGCGACGCCGUCACGUCCUCGGAGCACCUGGCGGGAAUCAACUUCACCGGCAGCGUCCCGACCUUCAAGCGCCUGUGGAAGCAGGUGGCCCAUAACUUGGACGUGUACAAGAACUUCCCCAGGCUGGCCGGAGAGUGCGGCGGCAAGAACUUCCAUUUUGUCCACAAGUCGGCGGACGUGCGCAGCGUGGUGAACGGGACGGUGCGAUCCGCCUUCGAGUACGCGGGCCAGAAGUGUUCGGCCUGCUCCAGGAUGUACGUGCCCGCCACCUUGUGGCCCGACGUCAAAGGGCAGCUGCUCGCCGCGCUCCGACAAAUCCGCGUGGGAGAUCCCGUGGAAGACUUUGGCGUCUUCUUCUCUGCCGUCAUCGACCACAAGUCGUUCGGUCGCAUCAAGAAAUAUUUAGAUGAGGCCAAGUGUUCGCCCGACCUGGAAAUCAUCACCGGGGGCAACUGCGACGACUCCAGGGGUUACUUCGUGGAGCCCACCGUCAUCGCCGCCGCAGACCCGCGACACCCCAUCAUGACCGAGGAGAUCUUCGGUCCGGUCCUGUCGGUCUUCGUCUACCCGGACGCCGACUACAAGGAGGUUCUGCGCCUGGUGGACAGCACGUCUCCUUACGCUCUCACAGGCGCCAUCUUCGCCCUGGACGAGAAGGUGCUGGACGAGGCGUCCGAAAUCCUGAGGAACGCCGCGGGGAAUUUUUACAUCAACGACAAGUCCACGGGAUCCGUUGUGGCGCAGCAGCCGUUCGGGGGCGCCAGAGCUUCAGGUCAGGACCGACGCGUGCGUUGCGGCCGAACUUCUCGGUGAUUUGCCAGGAAAGCGAGCGAGCUUGUUCGGCGACAUCGGCUUCUGAAGUGACCGUUCGCGACCUAACGACGCAUCGAAAAUUCUCUCUGAGGAUGAAAGCGGAGCUCGAAUUAUGCGCUCUCGCUUUGCAGUCGCGCUGGCACCUAUCCCGCCCUGAACUGGUCGCCGGCCAAUCGCAGGGCACAUGGAAACAAACGACCAUUCGCACUCACAUUCACACCUACGGGCAAUUGAAGAGUCGCAUGUUUUGGAAAUGUGGGAGGUACCCGGAGAAAAGCCACGCGGGCACGGGCAGAACAUGCAAACUCCCAACGGGCCAGGCACAAACGACAAACCGGGCGGCCCUCACUACGUCCUGCGCUGGACGUCCCCCCAGGUCGUCAAGGAAACGCACGCGCCGCUCACGG